UAUCCCUUCGUACACAACUGCUGCUAGAUUUCUCCAGGCCAUCAGCUUGUCUCUGCUCGCCCAAGCACAGGUGUUGGCUUCCUCCCAUCGUAUCAACCAUAUGUGGAGUCCUUGCUUAUCCCCUGCGCAUAGGAAGCCAGCUCCCUCACGUUGCCUCAUCCCUAGACGCGCUCGCCCAGAUCGAGCGUCGUCGCUCAGCUCGCCCAGCCCUCCCCAUCCUUCUCUAGCCAUGGUGCUGCUCCCAGUCUUCUGCUCGCCCCUGCCCUCAGCCUUGGCGUCUGGCCGCCACUGCCCCAGCUUUCCAUGGCGGCAUUUUCUGCUUCCUGGUGGCCGACGCCCUCCCUAAACUGAGCACCGCCGUCAACUGCGCCUUGGCGCUAAUCCUCCCCAACCUCUUCUUUGCCGGUGGUCGUCUCCAGCCCCUUCCAUGGCACCUAGUUUUAUUCCCAUGGCGAGCUCGCCCAAGCAAUCACCUCCAUCACAGGUGAUGUUUUCCCCUUCCCUUUCCUCAAGUUUGGUUCUCGGUGCCAAGUUUUUGUGUCCCUGCAGCUCGCCGUGCCUGCGCAGCCCCGACAACGACUCCCUCUUCUGCGUCGCGCCAUUGACCCGCUCGAUGGAAUGCCGCAGCGAGCUCUACCCGAUCUGCAACGCCUGCGCGCCGUCGUCGAAAUCCCCGCAACCGUGUUGGUCCGCAACAACACGUCCUCGAUCUGCAAUCCCUAGCCUUGUGGUCGACCUUGGUGAGCCCCUCGCCGUUCCACACCCCUCGAUUCGUUAAAUACCAAAUCAAUAAAAUGUGCAUUUAAAUAUGUGUGUCAAUCACAGCCCUCCGUCGAUGUCCUGCCUUGCGCAUCGCUUGCUCAACGAAAGCCUCACUCGUGAACGACAUGCGCGACUCAUCCGAUCCCGCCAGGUUGUUUGAUGUGUGUGAUUGUAGUUGUUCUAAAUAUGUUUUAAUCGAUGUCAUGCAUAUAUGUGUCGUUGACGUUAUAGUGGAAGUGUAUGCAUUGUUCAAUAAAAUGCCUCCUUGUAUGAAGUAUACAUAUAUGGGUGGAUGCGUAUGCGUGUUAAUUGAAGAUUUUAGAGUAGAAAAGGAAGUAGAAAAAGAACUUGGAUGUUUCUCAUGUUUUCGGAUUGUUAUUAGGAGUGAGUUGGAUGUGUGCAAAAUGAUUCGUUUAUAUGCAUAAUGGAGUCGCGUCGUAUGAUUGAGUUAAUUGUUCUUGUGCUCACAAACAGAAAUUUCUUGUGUGUACAAUUUUGAUUACACAACUAAUCUGCUGAAUCAAACUACGUUUUCUGUAAAUAUGUUCUAUAUAAAAGUAGUAGGUAACCUCCCCAUCUUUCUUGUGUUAAAGUUUCAUGACCAUAGGUUUAGUAGUUUAGGAGUUAUGAUUUUUCCAAGUCCAGUUUCAGAAUCUGUCCAAAUUCUGUACAGGUUCCGAAAAUUUGAUUGUUUGGCUAAGUUAAAAUGAGAAUCAGUCAUUCCUAAUUAUAGGAUAAUUGUAGUACUUUCCUUAAGCUUUUCCAUAAAUUUUGGAUCACCCUUUUUGGUGAUCUAUAAAUUAAGUUACAGCUGUUUGAGUUAGGAUCUCUGAAUCUGUCCCAAUUUGGACAGCAGAGCCUUUCUUAUAUCUUUUGACCUUUAUAUGCAUUGAAUUAACCUGAGAUAUUUAUAAAUGAAUUGUAGACAAUUAUAUUAUCUUUCUAAAAAGUCUAGGAUCACCUGAUUUGGAUGUCUGAAACUCCAGUUAUGAAUUUUUGAAAUAAAGAGCCGAAUUCUGUCCAAAUCUGGACAGAAUUAAAGUUUAGCACUGUUUGAUCUUUUAAACUGUCGAAUCAGGUUGUGAUGAUAAUAUAAGAGUUAUAGAGGACUUUCUAAGCUUUCCAUAAAGUCCUAGUUUACUAUUUUUGGAUGCUUAUUUUAUGAGUUAUGAACUAAACAAAUAGUUGCUGUUCUGCUGUCCAAAUUCAGCAAGUAUUUAAAUGACUAUUUGGAGUUUCUUUUGUGUGGAUACCUAGAUUUAGUUAGUCCUUGUCUUGAUAAAUGAAGUUGGGUGGCUAAUUUUUAGAUCUGCACCUGUUAUGGCUAUAGUGGAUUGAGCUAAUUGUAUUGGCUAAUAUAGUGCAACAAAAAUCAUCAAUGGGUUAUAAGUGUUUGGUUAUGUUGACUGCCUUGGGCAUGUUCUCAAUUAGGUUUAUUGUCUUCUUUGCUGUAGAAUAGAAUCGUGACUGUAGUUUACUAGUUUUGUUUUUAUAGGUAUGAUCAUGUAACUCCAUUAUUGAUAACCCAUUGGUCAUGAUACUUACAACAUAGAAUUAGCUUUACCAGUGUUCUUGUGUCCUUAUAACUAUAAAUAAUGGGUUGUUCAUUAGUGCUAAUAAUAGUGUUAGUCCGUUGGCAGUGUGCUCUAGUCCAUGAGCUUAAGACUUGUGUGGUCUUAUGAUUGUUCGAUGCUUGAGUUAGAUAUUUUCAAGUGUAAAAGAUGCGCUUGUGGUACUUAGUAAUAUCUUCACAUAUAGUGUGCUCAUAGGAAUUGUGAUGACUUGUUUUAAGUAUUUAUCUUUUUUUAGUAUAGAUUAUCUAUUUUGUGUUCUUGCUCAUGCUCAUAUGCACUAUGCAUCUCCAAUAGGUACGCUAGAUGAUUAUGCGAAUUGGAGGGCAUGGAUCAGGAUGGAUCACAAGGUGGCUUUGAUGGACCCAUCUCGAUAUGGACGACUUGAUCAAGUGUCAGGAUUGUUGAUGCUCGCCAAGCGGACUUCAUCUAACCACACUAACCUAGUGUAUCCCAGGCAAGCCCCGGUGCAUUUGCCACCUCCUUGCUGUUUUUAAACUUUUAUCAUUUAUAUGAUGCAUUAGGUGGUAGGAGUUGAAUGAUUAAACCUUUGUUGCAUAACUUCCUUGAACUAUUGAUUACCAUCCUUGAUACCUGUUUUAAAAAGCUAGAUGUGCUUAGUAUGCUCAUAGACUAAGAACAAAAUGUUUUGAUCUAUGAAUCAUGUUUUUACAAAGAAAAGAGGCUGGAGUGAUGAAGGUAUCAAAGGCCUUGAUGACUCCAUCAUUUCAGUAGGGUACCUCUGACAGGUACCAGGUUUUCAGAAAUAACUUAAUAUGAGACCAGACGUUGAGCAGGAAAUGUCGCCCGUCUGUGUCGCUUAAGGACCGUUCCGAUUGUUGGCCUGCUGAUCUAGGACCCUUUAACUGGCCACAUGCCUCGUCAUGGGUAAGCUUAGCCUCGGUCGGACCAAUACCAGAAAGGCCGGCCCGCAAUGGGAGUGGAGAGAUGGCGAGAGUAGCUUGUACCCUCCGUGGCAAGAGACUGGAAGGUGGGGUGCUGUACUCUCGGAAACAUGGCGGGCACCAUGGCGAGGGUAACGUGUACCAACCAGGCCAACGGCUGGAAGGUGGGGUGCUGUACUCUCGGAAACAUGGCGGGCACCAUGGCGAGGGUAACGUGUACCAACCAGGCCAAUGGCUGGACGGUGGAGUACUGUGCUCUCGGUUGGCGGGGACCCGUUCUGGUCUUGAGAAACCCGUGGGCGAGUUGACAUAUGCAAGGGUUAAGUGCUACAUAUGUCGUGUGGUUGGAGAUCCCCAGCUGGGUAUUAAUCGAUUCGGAUCGCCGAACUUCUCGGAUAUGAAGACUGGAUCUUCGACCCUCAUCGUAGAUAACAAGUGAAAUUAAAGUUGAUAAAAUGAAGCUAGUGUAGGACAAGUGAAUGCUCUAGAUUAGGCAAAUCUAGAUUCAGGAAAAGUACUUAAUCUGUGAAGUAAAACUUUGGCAUAAGGAUCCACUACUAGUAAGCUUUUCUGCAAAAACGAGUCUUUGAAACUUGAUGAGCUUUACCUUGAUUCCCAACAAACCAGCAUACCCUUGAGAGUCUUUUCUUUAGUCGGGUAAGUCUUGCUGAGUAAUUGCGUACUCAGGGUUUUAUUCCCUGUUGUUUUUCAGGUUGUAAUUUUGUUCUGUUGUGGAUGGUGCUAAGUGCCGGUAGGCUCGGCCUUCUUAUAUAAGUAUAUCCCAUCUUUAGCUUCCCUAUUGAGGAUUGUCACUUAAGCUAGCAUGUAUUUUAAAACUUAUAAAUGUUUUAUACAUUCAAAUUGUAAUCUUUUUGAAUCAAUUUCUUUUGUAAUCAACUCCGAUGAUAUAUAUUGUAAUCUUGUUAUAACUUGUAAAUGUUGUAACUUGUAAUCAUUUUGUAAUAAAGAAUUUAUUUCCGCUGCAAGUGUUUGUAUGUGAGUUGUGUUUACUUAAUCCUGCGAUCUUGGCGGUAAGUCGUUUAUCCGAGGUCCUCGGGGCACUCGGACAGAUCCUGUUAAGUUGUUUGGUGCACAUGCAUAGCUGUCUGAGGUCUUUGAGACAAGGACAGGUGCAUGUGGGCCCGAUAACUUGGAAGGUUCUGCGACAGCUGGUAUCGGAGCUUGAUUAAGUAUGAUACAAUCACAUACGUAUUUUUAAAACAAAAGUUUGGUUUCAAAAAUCUAUUUUCAACUAAACACAUUGUUUGGCUUUGAAAAACAGUUUUGAAAAACUAUAAUGCUAGCGACAUCCUCUGUUAAGCCCUAAAUUAAGGUCUAUUAGGUGGCUUAUUUAAAAACCACUAACCCACAACCGGGGGUAUUGCAUACAUGUGUAUUGUUAUUUUUGAGGCCAUUCAGUUUUGAAUGGAUCGACGCUCAGGUAAAGUGAGAUGUGAGAGCAUGACCGAACAAACGUCGGUCCAGGGGAGAGUAUAAAAAGCGCUUGAUUAUAUACAUGUUUUACAUAUGUAUAUAUGAAGGCUAUGAUGUGGAGUAUUUACUUUUCCGGGAUUCAGUACCCCAUGGAUGUGUAUGGGUAUACAGACAUGGGAAUACUGAGAAGUGUAAUGUAUUUGCAACGACGCACCUACGCUCAGGUAAGAAGGUGAGUUACCAUAAUGAGCUGCCCUAUGGUUAAAGUGUGGCAGCGGCGCCUAUGCGUGGCUCGGCGCUUAAUGAGGAGCUGGCCUCCAUAUAGCAAUAUAUGGAGUAUAAACUGUGAUAAACUGUCAUGUGUGAAUUGCAUCAUUGGGAACUGGGCUGUGAUGAAAUUUUCUGCAGGUACACUAACUUCGAACUUGUAUGUGUAGCUGACGACUAGCAACAUAUCGAGAGAGAACGUAGAUAUGCCACCGAUAUAGAACGCUAUUGCCACAUUAUGUUGGCGAAAUUCGUGAGGACGAAUAGGACGAGCAUGCAUCCUGAUUGCCGCAUUAUGUUUGUUGUUUGCGCACAAAAAUGCUUCUCUCACCUUUAUUCUAAUAAUUGGUGAUUGUGAACGAACGUGCUUCCCUCGUCUUUAUUCCGAUAAUAAAUAAUUGGAAAAUGUGUGAAGCAUGACUGUCCUAUAAGCAAUUUCUAGCUUUGUUUGUUGUGUCCUUUAGAUAUGCGUUUAUGUGGCCUGUGGUUCUUUUUAAUUUGACCACUAGUCCAACUUGUGUUUGUUUUGGUGUGUUUGUGCCGGUAGAAUGUUGGUAGCUUGUUGACGUAAACCCAAAGCUAGGCUAUGUCCUUGUUUAGUAAACCUUGAUCUAAACGUGUAUUAAUUUCUUGACAACCUGUCCUAGGUGUCGUCUUGUGUGAAGAUCAUUUUCUUCACAAGAUUAUUGGAGUUCUAGUAAUUAGACCAAGUCAUGUCCUCAUCAUCUCAACAUUUGAAAUUGUAUGAGAUAUAAUUCAUAAUUUUGUCAUUUCUUCAAAGUCGCUCUAAAUCUUCAAAACAUGCAUGAGUUUGAAUUAUCGAUUCCUACUCCAUGGCCAAACUCGUGCAAAUAGAUGUUUAGGUAAUCCCCUUAUUAGACCUAAAAUGCACUCAAACUUAAAAACAAGGAUCUCGAGUCUGUGAUCUUAACAAUCCACUUGUGGCUCUCUUAUGGUCAUAAUUUCAUCCUAAAACAUACCUUUGUUCGGUUGGUGCAAGCUGAUAUCUCUAUGUCAGUUUGAGUCUCCAUCAGGAUCAUCUUGUUGCUUUCUCAGCCCAACCUAGGAAAGCAGUGCCCAAUCAUUUUCUUGAAUUUAAUGCCUUUGAUUUUUUUUCAUCUCUCUCGAAGGCUUAUCAAUUUAAUCUUAUGAUUGUUUCCCUUCCAUAUCUUAUUGGACGCUAAUUAUUGACAUGAUAAUCUCUGUGAUGGACAUAGAAAUAUGCUUGGGGCUAAAGUAACAGUCUCCCAUCGUACUCCUUAUCAACCAAUUUUUGGUUUUGGCCGUAUCGUGUUCACUUCAUCGGGCCAUGAUCUAUUUGACUCUCUACUUGUAAUCAUUCUUACAGGUAGAGUCUUUUUGUAUAUUGUCACCCUUGCUCAAUCUAUCUGUGUCAUGUGAGAUUUCUUAUUGAUUACGUCUGGCAAUGGUGUUAUGACUAAAACUGAUGGUGCUGCGACGAAACCGAGGGCCUCCUGUGGGUGAUCAACACAUGGUUGCGCUACUUGGCACACGCUGGUAUCACAGUUAGUAGUCAUAAUCCAUUAUGAGAUUAUAUCGAUAUGUUAUCUUUGCGCAAAUUGUUCUUACCACGUGAGAUUCAUUAUCGGUGCUAGUUCGACGAUGGUGUCCUAGUUAAUGACUUAUGGUGCCGCGUAAAGCCGAAAGUCUCAUGUGGCGGCUGACACAUGGUAGUGCUGUUCGGUACGCUGGUAUCGAAGUCUCUGGGUAUGAUCCAUUAUGGAACUGCACUGACAUGUUAUCUUCCGUAGACUGCUUCCGUGAAAUGAUUUCUAUGUUCUUUGUCAGAAUGAUCAAGCCACAUAUGUCAUCACUGUUAGAUCAAAAGGGUAUAUAACUCUAAUGUAUUCCUUCGUAAAUUUUCUACCCAUUCAGAAAUCUCCAUCGAAAAUCGAAACCUAUCUGUGUCUAAUCAUGUGAUAAAAUCACCCUUUUCAUGUGGAGACUCCUUUCUCUUGAUCUUAGUGACAACUGCACACAUGGAACCUUAUGUGUUCUUUGUCAGUUGUCGUCUGCUUGUUGACAUCUCUAGUUGGCUUAAGGUGAUACAUGCUAUAUCCACUAGAGAAACCACAUCCACUCGCCUUCACUCAGGACCGUCUUAUGCUAUCACUAUUAUGGACAGGGUUAUAUGCCUCUCUACUCUUAGAAGUCUUUCGUUCUGAAUCUCGGGACGAGAUUCUUUUAAGGGGAGAAGGCUGUAACACCCCAGGUGUUUAUCGUCUACUCGACCACGAGUAUGGACGUUAACACGUGAUAGCUGUGAAUGUAAAGGUCACUAAAUUUUAAUCAUCCUCGUUUAUCAUGAUUUGGAUAUCGUGUUUGUCUCCAUCUGUUUAAAUUGUCCUAAAUUAUUUCACAAAAAUUCGGACUUUAGUAAUCUUUCGAAACAUCGAAUCCAGUAUCGUUUUGGUUGAGCCAUCGACGUCUUGCCCAAACUCUAAUCCUAGAAAUCGGAUCUGGUCCCUUAAACUUCAUUUGAAAUUCUUUCACGCUUGUGUUGCACGUGUCUCUCUGUGGCCUGACAUCGUGACACGGGUGGCAGGUGCUAACCGGUGUCUGGAUAGCGCACAACUUCUCGCCCACGUGAACGAUGUGUGACGUCGCUUUCGCAAGGAUCACAAUUUCGAUGCUGUAUCGAUCUCGCGUAUUUAUUUCACGAAAUGUCGAGUCUGAUGUCCGUUUAAAAUUUAUGGAUUAAGAGAAUAUGAAUUUGGAAUCCCGACCCACUCUUGUGAUUUUUGACCCAAGUGAAUUUUAUUAGAAGAUCGACGACAAGAGUGUCGAUGCGAGAUUAAAUUGGACCGAGAUAAUUAGAGCCGGAAUUGAGUAAUCGUAAUUAAUUUGUUUCCCUGUUUAGACGCGGAUGAAAUUAUUUAAUUUCAAAUAAUUCGAAUCAAACGUAAAAUAGCGAUGUUAAUAUUAUUUUGGUUCAUCCUUGCAUCUCGCUUAGACCCAAAUCCUAGAACCCAAAUUUGUCCGUGUCUAAAAAAAUGUGAGAGAAACAUAGGAAAAUCCCUUUUCAGUUUUAUUUUUUCAUUGUCGUUGAUAAUCUCCCAUGGUGCCGUCUCUCUGGGAUUUUCUUGAAGUCGCUCGGAUCCCUAUCCUCCACCGUCUAGACUCCUCUUCUUAUCCCUUCGUACACAACUGCUGCUAGAUUUCUCCAGGCCAUCAGCUUGUCUCUGCUCGCCCAAGCACAGGUGUUGGCUUCCUCCCAUCGUAUCAACCAUAUGUGGAGUCCUUGCUUAUCCCCUGCGCAUAGGAAGCCAGCUCCCUCACGUUGCCUCAUCCCUAGACGCGCUCGCCCAGAUCGAGCGUCGUCGCUCAGCUCGCCCAGCCCUCCCCAUCCUUCUCUAGCCAUGGUGCUGCUCCCAGUCUUCUGCUCGCCCCUGCCCUCAGCCUUGGCGUCUGGCCGCCACUACCCCAGCUUUCCAUGGCGGCAUUUUCUGCUUCCUGGUGGCCGACGCCCUCCCUAAACUGAGCACCGCCGUCAACUGCGCCUUGGCGCUAAUCCUCCCCAACCUCUUCUUUGCCGGUGGUCGUCUCCAGCCCCUUCCAUGGCACCUAGUUUUAUUCCCAUGGCGAGCUCGCCCAAGCAAUCACCUCCAUCACAGGUGAUGUUUUCCCCUUCCCUUUCCUCAAGUUUGGUUCUCGGUGCCCAAGUUUUUGUGUCCCUGCAGCUCGCCGUGCCUGCGCAGCCCCGACAACGACUCCCUCUUCUGCGUCGCGCCAUUGACCCGCUCGAUGGAAUGCCGCAGCGAGCUCUACCCGAUCUGCAACGCCUGCGCGCCGUCGUCGAAAUCCCCGCAACCGUGUUGGUCCGCAACAACAC
rnacentral:lncRNA from 1 species